CAAGAAAGGCUUAGCCUGGCGGUGGCGCUAGUAAAGGAUGGCGGACCGCCAGGCCUAUGAUACACUGGGGGAAACCCUGUGAUAUAUGCUGUAUAAAAUUAUGC